CCCUCAGGACCAGGCAGCCCCUUCCCUCAGCACCACGAGCCUCUUAUUUUGGUUACACAUUCCAGGUUUUUAGACAUUUGUCUAACGUUUGACUGAAUUAACUUGAACCUUCUACACAACUCGACUUCCUCUUUGUCUUUUCGAGGCAGUGAUUUUCAUCUGCCACUGCCAGCUGUGAAAUGACACCCAUAGCAGCAGACCCUGCGUAGCUGAUUUUCAGUGGAGGGGUAUACUUUUUAUGGAAUGAAAGGACUACUACACAAAUGAUCAUAAAAUCGCCUGUUGGUAGAGGUAGCCUACUUGUUAGCUGAACUGCUCCAUAUAAGCUGGCUCACUGCUCAGCCUGAAGCUGCAGCUAAUGAAAUACUUGUCUGGAGCAAUUAGUCCAAGCUGGAGUCUCUGCCCUUCAGUUGUAUUGCACCCAAGGCUGGUGACUGCCAGUGGGAUGGAGCCCAUGUGAUACUGAGCUGCACAGAU